UGUGACCAUCUUCCUUUGAGACAUGCUGC
rnacentral:piRNA from 1 species